GCCAGGCUGGGUGCUUUAUAACAGUCUUCACUGUUUGGUUAAGAGAGAUUCCCUGGUCUACAGUUUUGUUGCGGUUUGGAUGUGUGGCUCCUUCGUGUAAUCAAGGUCUUGGGCAAGGCACCUGCCGGGUAGCUGUACCACAAUUAAGCCACAGCAUCUAAAAGAGUAUUAAAGCAGCUGCUUAUAGGAGAGGUUCCUGGGUCCAUCUUCACGCACUGCACCUCGUAUUGUAGUGGUAAACUGCACCUCACAAUAUUGAUUGAAUCACUUGUUUGCAGUGGUUGUGCCUAUGUGUGCGUAGUGUGUGUAUGCUUUUGACUGUAGGCACAAGAGUUUAGAGCACUGUUGGUGAACUUCACGUUUAUCCCGAACAGGUAACCUAUCCUGACAGUGAAUUAAUA